rnacentral:ncRNA from 1 species
AUGCGGGAUGAACCGGAAGCCGGGUUACGGUGCCCAACUGCGCGCUAACCUAGAACCCACAAAGGGUGUUGGUCCAUUAAGACAGCAGGACGGUGGUCAUGGAAGUCGAAAUCCGCUAAGGAGUGUGUAACAACUCACCUGCCGAAUCAACUAGCCCCGAAAAUGGAUGGCGCUUAAGCGCCAUCCAUUUUAGGGGCUAGUUGAUUCGGCAGGUGAGU